CCAAUAGCGUAUAUUAAAGUUGUUGCAGUUAAAAAGCUCGUAGUUGAAUUUCGGGGUUAGUAGGUUGGUCAUGCCUCUGGUAUGUACUGGUCUCACUGAUUCCUCCUUCCUGAUGAACCUUAAUGCCAUUUAUUUGGUGUUUUGGGGAAUUUGGACUGUUACUUUGAAAAAAUUAGAGUGUUUAAAGCAAGCUAACGCUUGAAUACAUUAGCAUGGAAUAAUGAAAUAGGACGUUCGAUCCUAUUUUGUUGGUUUCUAGGAUUGACGUAAUGAUUAAUAGGGAUAGUUGGGGGCAUUAGUAUUCAAUUGUCAGAGGUGAAAUUCUUGGAUUUAUUGAAGACUAACUACUGCGAAAGCAUUUGCCAAGGAUGUUUUCAUUAAUCAAGAACGAAAGUUAGGGGAUCGAAGACGAUCAGAUACCGUCGUAGUCUUAACCAUAAACUAUGCCGACUAGGAAUCAGACGAUGUUAAUUUUUUAAUGACUCGUUUGGCACCUUACG
rnacentral:rRNA from 1 species